GGCGAUGUGGCUAAGCUUGGUUAUAGCGCCACGCUCAUAACGUGGAGAUCGGGAGAAAUUAAAACGAAUUGUUUUAGUUUCCGAAUUCAAAUCUCCCCAUCGCCA
rnacentral:tRNA from 1 species